AACCCCAUGGCCGAAUAUAGCAAGGAGAAACCAUGGCUAGGGUUUUUCAAGCUUCCAAGCUCGAUUAGCAAGGAAAACUGAAAUUCGGGCUAAAAUGGGGAAAAUACCAAGUUGUGGACGAAAUGGUAAAAAUAGCCAUUUUCGCAUACGAGGUAAGUUCAUGUGUAAAUAAUGUAGCAUAAUUGUUAUUUUUAAGUUAUUGAUAUUAAUUAUGUGUUAUGCUGAAUUUUAUUAUGAAAUGUAUGCUUUGUGGUUAAUUUCAAAUAAUAUGUAAAUUAUGUGAACUACUUGUUAAAUAUAAUUGUUACCGAGUAUUGA